rnacentral:rRNA from 1 species
AGUGAACGCUGGCGGCAGGCCUAAUACAUGCAAGUCGAACGGCAGCACAGCAAAGCUUGCUCUGUGGGUGGCGAGUGGCGGACGGGUGAGGAAUACAUGGGAAUCUGCCCAGUCGUGGGGGAUAACGUAUGGAAACGUACGCUAAUACCGCAUGCGCCCUAAGGGGGAAAGCCGGGGACCGCAAGGCCUGGCGCGAUUGGAUGAGCCCAUGUUCGAUUAGCUAGUUGGCGGGGUAAAGGCCCACCAAGGCGACGAUCGAUAGCUGGUCUGAGAGGAUGAUCAGCCACACUGGAACUGAGACACGGUCCAGACUCCUACGGGAGGCAGCAGUAGGGAAUAUUGGACAAUGGGGGCAACCCUGAUCCAGCCAUGCCGCGUGAGUGAAGAAGGCCCUCGGGUUGUAAAGCUCUUUUGUCCGGAAGAAAAGCAAUCGGUUAAUACCCGGUUUCCUGACGGUACCGGAAGAUAAGCACCGGCUAACUUCGUGCCAGCAGCCGC